rnacentral:rRNA from 1 species
AUUGAACGCUGGCGGCAUGCCUUACACAUGCAAGUCGAACGGCAGCGGGGGAGAAGCUUGCUUUUCCUGCCGGCGAGUGGCGAACGGGUGAGUAAUACAUCGGAACGUGCCCUGUAGUGGGGGAUAACUAGUCGAAAGAUUAGCUAAUACCGCAUACGACCUGAGGGUGAAAGUGGGGGACCGCAAGGCCUCAUGCUAUAGGAGCGGCCGAUGUCUGAUUAGCUAGUUGGUGGGGUAAAGGCCUACCAAGGUGACGAUCAGUAGCUGGUCUGAGAGGACGAUCAGCAACACUGGGACUGAGACACGGCCCAGACUCCGACGGGAGGCAGCAGUGGGGAAUUUUGGACAAUGGGCGAAAGCCUGAUCCAGCAAUGCCGCGUGUGUGAAGAAGGCCUUCGGGUUGUAAAGCACUUUUGUCCGGAAAGAAAUGGCUCUGGUUAAUACCUGGGGUCGAUGACGGUACCGGAAGAAUAAGGACCGGCUAACUACGUGCCAGCAGCCGCCGUAA